CCCCUAGAAACACCCAACAAGUUGAACUUUCCGAAUAUUCCUUCCCCACUGAACUUUUAAGCUCUUCACUCAAAGGUCUCAAAAAGCUGACUCUAAAUGAAGUUCUUGUGGACUCUCAGUCAGUUGAAAGUUUACUCUUGAGCUGCCCCCUUCUUGAACUAUUAUCUAUCACACGGUCUUAUCUAUUAGUACAUUUGAAAGUUGUUGGUCCUUCCCUCAAGUUGAAGCAUUUGGUGAUACGGCGUUGCCCUAUGAAAUACUUGGAGAUCCGUAAUGUAAAUCUUGUCUCCUUUACAUUUAGGGGAUCAACGACAAACUUGGUUCUCGAGAAUGUUUCUUCAGUUCUUAAUAUUGAUUUUAGUAUUAUCACGUGUGGAUUGCUAUAUAAACUUGCUCCCAAGAUUACAGCAAAUUUCACCCAAUUGGUGAUGCUCACACUUGAAGGUUUUCAUGAAACAACAGCAAGCAAUUUCCCCCCUCCUUAGAGAACAGCUUGUUUGGGCCUCAGACAUCAUUGUCUUACAACAGUUCUGUCGCCUUGAUUUUCGUUAUUCUCUAUCCGUCAUUUUAAUGGUUCUUUUCCAACAUUCAACAAUCUCAAACGGCUUAUGUUAAGACUCUAUUACGUGGCUGGUUAUUCUCUACUUGAAAGUACUCCACUUCUAGAGGCAGCUCCAUAUCUGCAAAAAUUUACAAUCGAGCUUCGUAGGUCUAAUAUCAAGUAUGUAUUCGACGGAGAGAUUCGUAGGAAGACUCCGAAAUCUCCACAUCAACAUCUCAGUGAAGUUCAAUGUAGAGGUUAUUUUGGAGAUAUAAAUGAUGUGGAACUUGCAAUGUACUUUUUUGAAAAUACAUUAGCACUCGAGAAAUUCAUUGUUGAUCCUUGCGUGGAGUUGCAACAUAACUGUGAAGGCACUCAGAGAGCGAGAGAUCGGGCUAUGCUGCAACUUCAACCAAAAGUUCCUCAAGGAGUCAAGCUGAUCAUUAUUUAAUUACCCUUUUUUUUUAUGACAACAAAUGCCAAUUCGGCCCUACAGUUGUCAUUAUUUGAUCUUUUCGCAGUGGUAUGUCUUUUAUUGGGAAUCUUUCAAAAAUAGCCAUAUUUUAAUGAAAAACUCUCCCUUCAUAA